GGGGCUCUUUCCAGAGUGUACUCACCCACACAGAGGGGCAAUACUCAAGCUCUCUCAUCAUGACCUUGAGCCCUCCAACCCAGUGGAACUAGCAUACCACCCUAACCACCAGCAGGAUCCCAUGCUACAGUGUGAACAAUGAGCAGGGGUGCCGUGGACCAGGCUCUCACAUUCAAGGUGGAGUGGAGGAGCCCACUAGUGUCCAGGUGGCUUCAGGUGUCCUCCUGACUGGAAUCUAUGAGAAGGAGGCCAGCAAGUCACACAUCUCCAUCCAUCAGCUGUUUCACAUAAGCAAGACCCUGUGUGGUCUGUCUGAGGACACAGAAAGAAGAACUGCUCUUUCUUCUGUGAUCUCACUUUUGGCCUCUCAUGGUGUUUACUAUUUGCCAUUUAAUGCCACUCUGGAAUGCAUGGGACCUUCAUGGGGUAAAGGUGGAUCCUCAAAGAAUUCUCACAGGAAGAAGAGCUGGAUGCCAGCAGACAAUGCAGAAAAUGGUGCUGGGUAAAAUGCACCUUGCAAAUCAUGACAGAAGAGCCAUCUCAGUUCCUUAAUUUGCUUGGAAGACAAGGUGUGGAAAAUUGAGAAAGGAAAACGUUGCUCAGCUUGAGAAGAUAAAAACACCUUAUACAUGUGAAGAACGGGGGGUUACUCAUUGGGGGCUUAGGCAUAUUACUUAACCAUUUGUAUUUAUUUUUCAUCUGAUAAAGUGAGUAUAAUAAUAUCUGCUGAAGUCCCUUUUCAGAAUUAAAUUAAUAAUAUGUAUACACACAUACUUA